rnacentral:piRNA from 1 species
UUCACUGGUGAUGAUGGAAUCUGCAUGAAUG